rfam:Myotis davidii contig173404, whole genome shotgun sequence.
CGUGCACCAGUGGGGUCCCUUGGCCUGGCCUGCACCUUCCCAAUCCCUUGGGGGAUGCCCAAGAGCUGGUUUCAGCCUGAUCCUGCAGGCCAGGCCGAGGGACCCCACUGGUGCACA